rnacentral:lncRNA from 1 species
CCUGGUGUAAUUACAAACAUGUGAACACAUUAGCACAGGUUGGAAAGGAAUUGAUCGGUCAAUAUCAAUGCAACUGAAUGUUGAAAUGAGAUGUAGAUGUGUUUAUCCUUUGUAUCCACCUGAUGAGUUAAGCCCUUUUCUACUGAUUUAAAUAGUUUGUUCUUAUGUCGUCCUGUUACACCCUGAGGUUACACUACUGUCCCAGGUUAGAGGUACGGUUUUGAGCUAGCAAACUAGUUUAACCACGCCACAUUCUGUAUGUUCCUGUCCCAAGUCAAGAGCAUGUAAUUCAGUGGUUGUUGUUUGUUUCUGUAUAUUAUAUUAGUUUUUUGUUCCUUAUUUUGUUCUUGAAGCAGGCCAUUAGUUUUCUCAUUUGAAUUGUUUUAAUUUGUUAUUUAGGGGUCUUUUUUAUAGCUGAAUAUGAGUUACUAUUUGUUGAAGGCCUUUGAAAAGUGUUAAUUUCUGUGUCAUUUGGUCUUAGGUAGAGAGUUGUCUCAUACUUUGGCAAUCAUACAACAUCUUCUUAUUUUUAUUAUAGGUUUAUUGUUGUUAUCUUAAAAUAUAUAAAAAAUAUCAAAUCUGUUUAAAGUUCUUGUCAUCUAAUCAAACUCAAUAAAGAAAAAAACACCCAACAAUCAAUUAGGAUUGUCUAUUUUCUUUCUUUUUUGGCAAGUUCUGGUCUUUUUAUGACUUAUGGCUUAAGAUUGCAUAAUUUCCCAGACAUUAUUUAAAACAAGACAUCCAAAAGUUAAACUAGUUGAUAUGUUAUUUUAGGCCAUAAUCAUGAUAAUAGUGCCUGCAGUUGUAUAUAACAUGUAGUUAUAAGUGUAGUACCAAGCCACGUCUACUUUAAACUUAUGUUAGAUGUAUAUGAUACUUUAAACUUAUGUUAGAUGUAUAUGAAUGUAUCUAUUAGUUUCCAUCUGAUGAGUUUAUUCCAUUUUCAACUGAUUUUUAUAGCUUGUUCUUAUGUUGUACUGUUAAACUACUGUCACAUGUUGGUGGAGUGCUCACAAACAUGUUUAACCCUGCCACAACUUUUAAGUGCCUCUCCCAAGUCAAGAGCCUAAGUUCAGUGAUUGUUGGUGGUUCCAAUCUAAUUAAAAUUAAAUCUCUGCAAUUGCUCCUCAUUGUUUAUAUGUUGCUCAUGGUUCAUGUUUGCCAUUCUUGAUUUUUGUAAACUGUUUUGUUAUGAAUUAGACUGUUAAUUUUUUUAAAUUGAAUUGUUUCAUAUUUUCAUAUCAGGGCUUUUUGUAUAGCCUACCUUAUGGUAUGGAUUUUUCCUCAUUAUUGAAAGCCUUAGAGUUGCCUAUAAUUGCUUACAUCCACUUUAUUUGAACUUUGGCAGAUUAUAAGCUGUCUCAUUGGCAAUUAUACCACAUCUUCUUAUUUUUUUAUAGGGUUCAAAUCAACUCAGAGGAUCCAGCUGGAUAGGAAUAGUUUUUCCAUUACUUAAUGACAAGCUACUACUGGAAGGGGAUGUUUAAUGACCUUGACUUCCCAUGAGGGUCUUGCCAGGUCUUUAAUGAUAAGCUAUAAUAGCAACAUUGGUCUUUGAUGAAUAUGUAAGAUGUCUGGAUGGGGUUAACAGAAUAUUGAAUAAUAAACAAAAAGUGCUAAACAAAAGGAAAGAAAAAUAGACAUAGAAAACAAUAAAGGAAAUUGGGUGCUAAAAUAUAAAGAAAAAAGAUAAAUGAGCAAAAAAAAUUAAAAGAAUAAAGAGAAAUGGUCUAAAUCCAUAGGAGUAAAGAAAUGAGUGACACCCCCAUCCAACAUGUCCAAACAAUCAUGUUAAUGAAAAAGUAAUCCAACAUCACAUUUCUGUUUUUAUCUAAUAGUCCUGCUCUUGAAUUUGAUCGGUUUCGUUUUUAUUUUGUUCUGCUUUUUCCUAUAUUGUAUGAGUAACCCCUACCAUAGCCCCAUUAUUACUUGCACACUGUAGGACAGAUUUAUAAUAUAUUUUACAGACUUAUGCACUUCAUGCAUACAACAGGAAAGAAAAUAAACCUCUGUGGAACACCUAACAUUCUUUAUGCAAGUAUCAACAGACCUUCAAGGUCUAUGUGAAGGUCUAUUCAAGGUCUGGUUAUGGUCAAUUAAUUUUAAAUCUGUAAAUACAUUGGGUACCUACUUUUUCAGAUAUGUCAUUUAUACAAAAUUUCAUUAUGUAUGAUUACAUUCGAGUUUAUUUUUGAACCAUGUUAUUACCUUUUUCUUCACUGUUUUUCAAACUAUCCAGAUCUGUAUAAAUUAAUUCUUCUUCGUUAUUUUGAGACAAAUGUGUCGGUUCAUCAAUCCAAACCAUUCUAUCAGAUUUACACAUUACAGGAUAUGUCGGACAAAUGACCGUUCGGACAUUAUUCACGCUUCAAAUGUUUCAUUUUUGUCAGUUUGCCUUCAUGUAAAAUUUCAAUGUUUAAAAUCCACCUAUAAAUCAGAAUUCAGUCAAGCAAAGACACAGCUCACAAGCCAAUAUUCAUAAAUUUACAUUCCAAAUUGCAUUAAAUAAAAGAUUUUGUUCACCAUAAUGCUAAAAUACUCAUCUAAAAACAGAUAUAUAAUCCUUCAACAAUGAUUUGUACGUAAAAUAUAAAGUAUCAUAUGUCCUACAGAUAUUCAGCACUAAAGUACACUGUCACAUGUACACAUAUAUAUAUAUAUAUAUAUAUAAUAUUGUAAACAAGACCAUAUAGUCUACACUUCCUCUCCACUGAAUAAAUUAAUUCAUCAAUAUUAUAACAUGUUAUUUCCAAUAUCAAAUCAUUCCACCAUUUAUUUUUUGUCACUUUGUAAUAAUGUCAAGUAUUAUGUGAAAAGAUAUCAAUAAUAUAAGAUUGCAUGUGGAUGUGU